UGGGCGUUAGAGUUUGAUCCUGGCUCAGGACGAACGCUGGCGGCGUGCUUAACACAUGCAAGUCGAGCGCGGUCCAACCGGUGGCAACACCGGGGACGACCGAGCGGCGAACGGGUGAGUAACACGUGAGGAACCUGCCCCGGAGACCGGGAUAACACCGGGAAACCGGUGCUAAUACCGGAUGCCCUCACUAGAUCGCAUGAUCCGGUGAGGAAAGGGCUUACCGCUUCGGGAGGGCUUCGCGGCCUAUCAGCUUGUUGGUGAGGUAACGGCUUACCAAGGCUACGACGGGUAGCUGGUCUGAGAGGACGAUCAGCCACACUGGGACUGAGACACGGCCCAGACUCCUACGGGAGGCAGCAGUGGGGAAUCUUGCGCAAUGGGCGAAAGCCUGACGCAGCAACGCCGCGUGGGGGAUGAAGGCUUUCGGGUUGUAAACUCCUUUCAGACAGGGACGAUUGUGACGGUACCUGCAGAAGAAGCCCCGGCCAACUACGUGCCAGCAGCCGCGGUAAUACGUAGGGGGCGAGCGUUGUCCGGAUUUAUUGGGCGUAAAGAGCUCGUAGGCGGCUCAGUAAGUCGGAUGUGAAAACUUCAGGCUCAACCUGGAGAGGCCAUUCGAUACUGCUGUGGCUGGAGUCUGGUAGGGGAGCACGGAAUUCCUGGUGUAGCGGUGAAAUGCGCAGAUAUCAGGAGGAACACCAGCAGCGAAGGCGGUGCUCUGGGCCAGUACUGACGCUGAGGAGCGAAAGCGUGGGUAGCGAACAGGAUUAGAUACCCUGGUAGUC
rnacentral:rRNA from 1 species